rnacentral:lncRNA from 1 species
GUUAUGUUAGGUUAGGUUAUCUGAAUAAUAAGUUUCGCUGCCGUAAAAGCGUAAGAUGUUGGAUUUAGGACUUUUAUCUUUACCAGAAAUGUAAUGUAGUUUAAAUCUUUACAAACAACUCCUAAUUAAUGACGAAAACUCAGUAUAAAUAAAAUUGUCAAAGUUGCUGAGCUUGCAAAAUCAACAGUAUACUGUGUUAUUAAAAAUAUAAGGAUAUUGGAAAGGUUAUGAGUUCCAAGCAGAUAGGAGUAAAAUUUGGGAUUACUGGUGAACUGAUAAAAAAAAUACUUCGACUAGAAUGAGUGAAGUUACCUAGAGACAGUAAACGUAGGAGACACAAAUUCGAACAGGUACCGCAUGUAGGUAACCUGAAUUGUAAGCAGUUCCUUGACCCAGUGGUGGUCCUACAUAUAUCUCGAGAUGAAUAACUAACCACGAAACAAUAACAAGUUGAGGAACGAGUUUCGAAUACCAAACGCGGAUACGAAACUGAAUAAUCAUCCAACGUAAAAGUAAAAAAUCUCCAUGAAAACGAAGUAAAGGAAGAAAAUACCAAGAUUUAUAUAAAUAGUAAAGAACCACACCUUAUGGAUGAACAGAUGUUUAUGAGACUGUAACUCUUCAGAUAGGAUAUUUCUGUGAACUGUUUAAGUAUGUAACGGUAUAACCUGUUUAGGUCAAUGUCUUUUCUAUUGAUAUACCAUGCUUAGUUUGAAAUGAUAUUUUAAUCGUUAAUACAAGAAUAUUUUUCUGGUAUUUUAUUAUAUCACAUUUUAAAAAUAAAUUUAUGUGUUACGUAUAAACUGAAAACCCAUAUUACAAUAGGAAUUAUUUAACCGCUAAAGUCCAAAAAUUUUAUGUGGAAAUAAUUUCUUUGUGGUUUUUUAUAUGUAUUGUUGUUAAUGUUAAUUUUAUAAAUAAAUCCGCUCCUUCACGUAAAUAAAUCACGGUAAAAUUUCCAAUCAAGAAAAACGUUAUUUAGUUACACAAAAUAUAAUUUGAUCUAAUUAUUCUAUGUAUAAGUACUUUUUGUUAUCGAUAUUUUAUUGUUUUCAAACGUUUAACAUUCACUAUAUGUAUAGUAUUCCUUGAGCAAAACAAAUUCUUAAGUAUAUGAGGCGUACAGUUAUGAGUUAUUACCGUGUUAUUCUAUAUAAAUCAUUAAAACUGUACGUGCUUAAGUACUUAGUUAAUUUAGGAAUUGCUUUUCAUAUUUAAUUUUUGCCAUUAUUAUGAAAAAACGUUGCAGAAUACAUCACUUGAAUAAUAUGACAAAAAAAUUUGAUUGAGUCAUUGGAAUCAAGGCUCUAAUGAAGAACUUCGGACAAAGCUGAAGACAUUGAACUAAAGAAAAGAGAAGGAAAAUGAAUUAAAACCCAACCCAACCCAAAGGUCUGUUGAAAUACACUCAGGUUCCAGGAAUUUUACAACAACAUGGUAAAUGAAAGAAUUGGAAGGAUAGAUCUAAUAAUACAUGGUAAAUUAAGAAUGUUAGGUGUAUAUGCAGUAAAUAAUGACGUUAAAUGAACAAAUUGAAAAGGUCAUUAUAGCAAGAAAAGUAACGGUUUUAACGAUACAAAUAUAGUGAUAAAAACAAGAUACAACCUAAAUAGUCUAGUACAUGAAAGCAGAAAAGAACUGUAUAAAACGAAAUCAAACACCAAACUGCAAAGAACAUCUACUGCCGGAUAUCACUGGAGAUGGGUUAACAAUUUUACACCUAUAAAGUAGGUACCAGUACUAUUUAGUCAGUUUAUAACAGGACACGGAUUCUUCCAGAAUUGUCUAUGGAAGAUAGCAAAAAUGAACUGCAUGGCGUUUCUUCACGCGGAUACUGAAUACAAUGAUGUCGAGGAAACUCCAUUCAAGUUCCAUAGAUGGAAAGCGAUUCAAGAAGAUUUGGACAUCAUUGUUGGCCGUAUGAUAGCCAACCCAUCACAGCCUGGACUAUAAGAUUUAAGGCCUCUUUAAAAGAAGAUAAAAUAGAAAAUGCUACCAGUGGGCGUGAUGUCUCAGUAGAAUGAUGCAGGAAGCCAUUACAUUGCAUUGACCAGUUUCGAGUUGACAUGAUAUUAAUU